UUUUCAUAAAAGAAAACUUGCCCAAUCAGUCCCUAUAGUUGAUUUCACUCGAUCAACGCGUUUAUCAAAUCAAUCGAGGUAAACUUAGAUGAGAAUGUAUGGGAAAAUUUUAGUGUGUUUCUGCGUUUUCUUAAUCGAAUGUGUAAUGCAUCCAGUUGGCAGUGUAACUCUUCAAGAGUACCAUAAUUUCAAGGGUAAAGAUCUUUUAUCAAUGAAUAUUGACGAUCUGACCAAAAUUACAAGAAUCAGAUUAUAAAGCAAGUAUCGAACAAGAGGGAUGUAUAAUUCACUUUGGAGAUGAAACUGCAACAGAAAAAUUGGUUCAAUGUUCAGGUAGCCAUGGUAGAUUUUAUAUUGGCAAAGGGCAAUCGGAAUUCGGCGUUUACGAGUAUGAUCAUUCGUGUGCGAUUAACUCUCCUUGUGAAUGUAAUCCUUUACAUAAUAUAGACGGUGCUGUGUAA